rnacentral:rRNA from 1 species
GAUGAACGCUAGCGGCAGGCUUAAUACAUGCAAGUUGAGGGGCAGCAUGAUAUACGCGAGUAUAUUGAUGGCGACCGGCGGACGGGUGAGUAAUAGGUAGGAGACCUACCUCAUACAGGGGGAUAGCAUAGAGAAAUCUGUGGUAAUACCCCAUGAGGUUAUAUGAAUAGAGGCAUAUAAUCAAAGCAUAAGUGAUUAUGCGGUAUGAGAGGGGCCUACUGACCAUUAGCUAGUUGGUGAGGUAAGGGCUCACCAAGGCGAAGAUGGUUAGGGGUUUUGAGAGAGAGACCCCCCACAUUGGAACUGAGAGACGGUCCAGACUCCUACGGGAGGCAGCAGUAGGGAAUAUUGGGCAAUGGGCGAAAGCCUGACCCAGCCAUGCCGCGUGAAGGAAGACGGCCUUAUGGGUUGUAAACUUCUUUACUACGCGAAUAGAGGUUAGUACGAGAUACUAAUAGGAAGGUAGUGUAAGUAAAAAGCACCGGCUAACUCCGUG